CUCAAUGAACCCCAUUCUUCAGCUGGGCCACCCUCUGUUCUCUUAGUGAGCAUUACAAUGCUAAGGGGGUGAAACAAUUUGUGAGAAGUCUGUUUUCCUGAUUGGAGACCAAAAUGGAAAAAGAACGAUAUCUUUUGUCCUUCACAAUAUGAGUGAUAACACUACUGGAAAGAACAUCAUCUAAUAGAUACAGGAUGCUCUCAAGAGCUACAUGUCAGGAGACUGGACUCUGUUUACUUAGAACAGCUAAGACAGAAGUUCACUUCAGGAACCUGAGAAACAGCAACACCACCACCAGCAGCAACAGAAGAUGGAGGUUGACCAAAAUAGGUAUUGCUACUUUCAUUCCUCUAAAAUAAGGCUUGUCAUUUCAUUUAUUAAAU
rnacentral:lncRNA from 12 species